AACGCAUAUUGCACUCUCUGGUAUUCCGGAGAGUACACCUGUUCGAGCGCCAUAUUAAGCCUCAAGUUCAACUUGGUGUUGGAGGAAAUCGUCUUUGAUUCCUCCGAAAUUGAUGGUGUAACCCAAAUCCGGCCAAGUGCAGCAAUGUUAUGUAGGCGCUUGCAGUGAAGGGAGGUUACGUCCUGAAAAGAGGGAUUCGUCCAAGGAAGGAGUCCCUCUUACUUUCAAGUUUGGCCUCGAAUCAGGUGGGGAUACCCGCUGAACUUAA
rnacentral:misc_RNA from 1 species